CCUACGUGGGGCUGCAGUGGGGAAUAUUGGGCAAUGGGCGCAAGCCUGACCCAGCAACGCCGCGUGAAGGAAGAAGGCUUUCGGGUUGUACACUUCUUUUCUCAGGGACGAAGCAAGUGACGGUACCUGAGGAAUAAGCCACGGCUAACUACGUGCCAGCAGCCGCGGUAAUACGUAGGUGGCAAGCGUUAUCCGGAUUUACUGGGUGUAAAGGGCGUGUAGGCGGGAAAGCAAGUCAGAUGUGAAAACCAUGGGCUCAACCUGUGGCCUGCAUUUGAAACUGUUUUUCUUGAGUACUGGAGAGGCAGACGGAAUUCCUAGUGUAGCGGUGAAAUGCGUAGAUAUUAGGAGGAACACCAGUGGCGAAGGCGGUCUGCUGGACAGCAACUGACGCUGAGGCGCGAAAGCGUGGGGAGCAAACAGGAUUAGAUACCCUUGUAGUC
rnacentral:rRNA from 1 species